CAUCAUCAGUUUGGGGAAGUGCGAUGGUUAUGGGCACGUUCUAGUUGUGGACACCAUCUGAACCUGGACAACAAGCAGACGCCACUGAUCUUUUGAAUUGAGAUAUAUUGGUGCGAAAUAAAAAACGAGGGGGAACGUUGUGAGUUGCUGCGGAC